rnacentral:rRNA from 1 species
UACAGAGGGGGCAAGCGUUAUUCGGAAUUAUUGGGCGUAAAGGGCUCGUAGGCGGCCAACUAAGUCGGAUGUGAAAUCCCCAGGCUUAACCUGGGAACUGCAUCCGAUACUGGAUGGCUUGAAUCCGGGAGAGGGAUGCAGAAUUCCAGGUGUAGCGGUGAAAUGCGUAGAUAUCUGGAGGAAUACCGGUGGCGAAGGCGGCAUCCUGGACCGGCAUUGACGCUGAUGAGCGAAAGCUAGGGGAGCAAACGGG